AGCCCUUUGGGGUUCAGUUGACUGAGUGUGGGAAGCCUUUGUCAUAGGGUAAAAGUUGCAUACCCCUGGGCUGUAGGCUGCACACUUUGGGUCAAAUAUCAGGUUCUGUAGCUGUGUAUUUUAUCAGAACAAAUCUGUUCUACAAUGAUUCUUUUCCUUAGCUCAGGGUUGUUUUGCCUAUUGAUGGCAGCUGUGGGCAUACAAGCACAACGGACACCUUCUAUAAAUGACCUCAACGCUGAAUGCCUUGGUAACGUUAUUCGUUUGAGUGUCGCUCCUCUUUUUGAAGAGGUUGAUGCCGUCUUCAAUGACACACAAAUCAUAAACCUGACGCCUGGCCUUGCUACUCAGUGUGGAUUCAGCUUUAAAUUUGACCCCAUGGGGAAUGCCAUGUUUUUUGCUUCUCUUCAAAACUGCUUUUCCCAAAACAUGGAUGAUAAGAUGUUCAGCUUGGUCAUGCAGUUCAGGCUGCCAGGAAACCACAUGACUGAAGACCCUGUGUAUAGAGUGGGCAAAACCUGUAGCUACACCCCCCUGGACCUCCCGAGAGAUUCUGUGCGACCGCAACUACAUGGAGGUGUCUGUCAGAAGGACUCUUCCAGACAUCCAAACCAUCCCCGAACAGCCCACUGGGGGCCCGAAAGCAAGGAGCGGCAACUUCCGGAGAGGAGCUGAGGCUGUUGCUUCAGGAUACAAAAUGACAGCAGUCGUCUUUAGUCCUAGCAAGAAUGUCAUGAAUGUGGAUGAGGUCCAAAGAAAGGGCUAUGCAAUAGCCAACACUCCCACACGGCUGGUGUUAAGAAGCCCUCAUAAUGCAGAGGAGACAUACCUCCAGAAUGUAGCUGGGGUUCCGAUGCGGGUGCUCUCAACCUCAACCUUCUUUGAGCAGAAGUGGCUGGUUACUCGAGUAGAUGCCACGGCUGUUUGUCCAACACCAGGGGCAGUUGCCUUUACUCCAGAAGUGAUCACCUGGUACAUGCCCAAGCACAUAGACCCACUUUUCUCCUCUGAUGCCUUCACCAUGUUGGAGGUGUACAUGGGAAUUGACGCUAAGAGGCUGAACACUGAGGAAAUGGCUGCCAGAAACUACUCGGUUUUAGUCACAGAGGCUCACAUUAUUGUUGAAAUUCCGGUGGGGGCGGUUGGCGGCUAUUUCAAGAGCCAUAUUCAGGAUGACCAGUACUUUGUCACUUACACCAUUGAGCCCAUGCUUGAGUUGCUGUGGAUCGAGGAGAUCGCACACGAGGACACCAGCUAUAAAGUCCUCUUCCCUAUCACAACACCUCCGAUGGCCAGGCCUCCACAAGUUCGCAACUACACGCCCUUAGACACAGUUCCUGAGCUGGCAGUGUUUGUGCUUGAGUUGGGGACCUUCAACCUUGAUGUGGAGCUGCUGAACAUCACCUUUCCCACCAUGGUGCUAACUGUUGCAGAGUGCAACGCCAGGGGCUUCAAUGUUCAGGAGCAGAGAUCCCCGGACAACACCUUGAAGACCUUCAGGAUGGAGGUGCCCUUCUCAGACCCGGUGGUCUUCAAGGAGAGAAGGGCGGAACAAGGUGUCACAACCUUCACUCUUCAGCUGAUCUACGGCCUGGUCAUCUUUCCAGAGUACGCUCCUUUCUCUCACUCUGCCGUUGUGGACGCUGUACUGCUGGACAUUGUGCCACCCUCAGUCACUGGCAACUGUGAUCAGGAGAACUUCCACAUCACUGUGGACUACAGGAACCAAGAGCCCUUUUUUGUGGUCUUGGUUGGCAAGCGGCUGCUUAACCAUGAGUUUGCUCAACAGUAUUUAACAGAGGGCGACACAGACUUCACCAUCACGUUGCCCUUCUCUUCGCCGGACGCAGUGUUUGAGUCGGUUCACUCGUCCUCUGUCAGGAGCAGACUGGAUGUGGCUCUGUUGAAUCCUUACAACAACAUGACCAUCAAAUACUUUUCCCUGGCUUGCAGCUUCCUCAAAACGCUGACUGAGUGUUUCUCUAACGGAACGAUGACUGCGCUGGCGGUGAAGGUGGAUUCUGUUCCCGGUCUGAACCCCGGUCAGCUGACCCUGAGCGACCCCGCCUGUGGUCCCACCUACAGUGACGAUCGCUUUGCCUACUUCCACUUCACUGUGAACUCCUGUGGCACCAUCAGGAAGUUUAUCAACAAUGUCAUGCUGUAUGAGAACGAAAUCUCCUUGCCAGAUGAACUUGAGGUGAAGCUGAAUGCCACAACGUCUUCAGAGGAGGAAUAUCAGUUAAAGGUUUCCUGCUACUAUGUGGCCAACAUCACUCGCACAUUGGCCUUCCUGACCAGGCCGCGUGACAACGAGCCUUUUGCCGAGACUGGGACGGGUCGACUAAUGGUCAGAAUGAGACUCGCUCAGGACGCCACGUAUAACACGUUCCACCAGGAGGCGGACUAUCCAGUGGUGAGGUACCUGAGACAGCCUCUGCACUUUGAGGUUGAGCUGACCACGUCCUCUGAUCCCAAGGUAGCGCUGGUGCUUGACCACUGCUGGGCCACCCUCAACGAGGACCGUGACUCCCGACCCCGGUGGAAUCUCAUCAUUAAUGGCUGUGAGAACCCUGAGGAUCCAUACAGUGUAGUCUUCCACCCGGUAGUAGCUGAUGCCAGGGUCCACUUCCCCCCUCACGUCAAACGCUUUGAGGUCUAUAUGUUUUCCUUCGCCGAGGAUGCGGUUGAGCCGAGUGGCCAGGUCUUUGUCCAUUGUGAUGUGGUCAUCUGUGAUGCCAGUAGUCCCUCUGGCGGCCCCUGUAGUGGACAAUGUGUGAAUCAGGACAACCCGAAAAGAGGUCAACGACAUGUCAAAGACCUCUCUGAGGAGCGUCAUUUAUAUGUUUCUUCUGGAUACAUUCUUUGGGUGUAAUGUCUUGUUCUAACAUGUCAAAUAAAGUGUUCUAUAUAAAACAA